GUGCUCGCUUCAGCAGCACAUAUACUAAAAUUGGAGUAAUACAGAGAACAUUAACAUGGCCCCUGCACAAGGAUGACACACAAACUUGUGAAGCGUUCCAUAUUUUU